GACGAACGCUGGCGGCGUGCUUAACACAUGCAUGUCGAACGAUGAAGCUGGAGCUUGCUCCGGUGGAUUAGUGGCGAACGGGUGAGUAACACGUGAGCAAUCUGCCCUUGACUCUGGGAUAACUGCGGGAAAUUGUAGCUAAUACCGGAUACGAGGCUCGAAGGCAUCUUCGGGUCUGGAAAGAAUUUCGGUCAAGGAUGAGCUCGCGGCCUAUCAGCUUGUUGGUGAGGUAAUGGCUCACCAAGGCGACGACGGGUAGCCGGCCUGAGAGGGUGACCGGCCACACUGGGACUGAGACACGGCCCAGACUCCUACGGGAGGCAGCAGUGGGGAAUAUUGCACAAUGGGCGAAAGCCUGAUGCAGCAACGCCGCGUGAGGGAUGAAGGCCUUCGGGUUGUAAACCUCUUUUAGCAGGGAAGAAGCGAAAGUGACGGUACCUGCAGAAAAAGCACCGGCUAACUACGUGCCAGCCGCCGCGGUAA
rnacentral:rRNA from 1 species